rnacentral:rRNA from 1 species
UACAGAGGAUGCAAGCGUUAUCCGGAAUGAUUGGGCGUAAAGCGUCUGUAGGUGGCUUUUUAAGUCCGCCGUCAAAUCCCAGGGCUCAACUCUGGACAGGCGGUGGAAACUACCAAGCUGGAGUACGGUAGGGGCAGAGGGAAUUUCCGGUGGAGCGGUGAAAUGCGUAGAGAUCGGAAAGAACACCAACGGCGAAAGCAGCUCUCUGGGACGGUACUGACGCUGAGACGCGAAAGCGUGGGGAGCGAACAGG